CUAGUAUAGUGUAGUGGUGGAGUGUAGUAGUGGAGUGGAGUAGUGGAGUGUAGUAGUGGAGUGGAGUAGUGGUGUGGAGUAGUGGUGUGGAGUAGUGGUGUGUCUAGUAUAGUGUAGUAGUGGUGUGUCUAGUAUAGUGUAGUGGUGGAGUGGAGUAGUGGAGUGGAGUAGUGUAGUGGAGUGUAGUAGUGGAGUGUAGUAGUGGUGUGGAGUAGUGGUGUGGAGUAGUGGUGUGUCUAGUAUAGUGUAGUAGUGGUGUGUCUAGUAUAGUGUAGUGGUGGAGUGGAGUAGUGGUGUGGAGUAGUGGUGUGUCUAGUAUAGUGUAGUGGUGGAGUGUAGGAGUGGAGUGGAGUGUAGUAGUGUAGUGGAGUGGAGUAGUGGAGUGGAGUAGUGGUGUGGAGUAGUGGAGUAGUGGAGUGUCUGGAGUGUAGUAGUGGAGUGUAGUAGUGGUGUGGAGUAGUGGAGUGUCUAGGGGAGUGUAGUAGUGGUGGAGUGGAGUAGUAGAGUGUCUAGGGGAGUGGAGUAGUGGAGUGUAGUAGUGGAGUAGUGGAGUGUCUAGUGGAGUGGAGUAGUGGUGGAGUGUAGUAGUGGAGUGUAGUAGUGGAGUGUCUAGGGGAGUGUAGUAGUGGUGGAGUGGAGUAGUGGAGUGUCUAGGGGAGUGUAGUAGUGGAGUAGUGGAGUGUAGUAGUGGAGUAGUGGAGUGUCUAGUGGAGUGGAGUAGUGGUGGAGUGUAGUAGUGGAGUUUAUAGGGCAGGAUAUCUCCUAGUAGUGUAGUGUGUUUGGAUCUAUCGAGAAUGAUAUAUAAUAUAAUAAUAUAUGCCAUUUAGCAGACACUUUUAUCCAAUGCGACUUACGACAGUGGGAUCGAACCGACAACUCUGGUCAUGCUAUUACCAUGCUCUGGGACACAUAAUGUUUUCAAGCUUUUGGCCUCAUGUUUGGACCAAGUACAUUGUAGAUGUAUGAGGAAAGCAUUGCUGUACCUCAGUAUAUUGAUAUGAUGUCCUGUAGAUCUCUGAAACUCUUACACACAAAACACCCACUCAAUGCCGCUUUGCCUCUGGGCAGGGUUUGUGGGCAGAAUCAACUAUGCAAUUCAAUGAAAUAUUCACCACAAAAGACAAAUAUCUCAUAGUUUCUAAUCAAAAUGAUUUCACAAUCAUCUGUGGCUGAUGAUGCUUCUAUACUAUACAAUACUAUAUCUAUACCAUAUCUAUAUAUAUAAUAUCUAUACUAUAUCCAUACCUAUUCUUUAUCUAUAUCUUAACAAUAACUAUAUAUAGUCUAUAUCUAUAUAUAUAAUACAUCUAUAUCUAAUCUUUGUCUAUAUCCAUAUACAUUCUAUAUCUAUAUCUGUUCGAUAUUGUCACGCCCUGACCUGAGAGAGCCUUUUUAUGUCUCUAUUUAGGUUUGG
rnacentral:lncRNA from 1 species